GCACCCUGUAUAUGCCGAGAAUCUUUGGUUAAGACGAAUUAAUAAAUAACAUAGUUUCGUGAUUGAUAAGACCGAUUUAGAUAUGAUUGCAAUUCUCUUUAAAUCUUCAAUCAUUUUAAUCAGAUGCCGAUAUUUCUAAGCUGUCUUCGGUAUCGACUGCAGAUAGCUUCAUAUUUGCAUCGGUACAAAAGUUAGAAUAUUUGUGUUCGAAUAUACGACGUUUGGCUGUAGUUAUAGAUGAAAAUCGUCAGCUAAAAGUAACUGGACAUUCUAUCAUUAUAAAAAUUAAUCAUUCAUAAACACACACAGUGAGAAUUAUGCUUAUAUUGAUUUAGAACCUAUAAUCAGAACGGUUGUCUGUAGACAGCAAUGACUGUCUACAAUUCUAAUUUUCAGAUAAGAUCUCACAGUUCAGUACGACAUAUCUGUAGUAAACGUGGCUUCUCUUUCUAUAUCGAAUCGUAUUACUUCCAAUGUAGCGACGAGAUGGAGAGAUUCCUUAGACAUAUAUAAAAAGAGAAAUGUUUCGUUGAGAAAGAAGAGAGAGCAGAUAUUUAUUAACUCUGCAGAUGCGGAAGCAAAAUCUUUACCGGUGCCGAUUAGUCAUCCAUCCAUUGGACAUAGGGAUUAUUAAAUAUUGACGUAGACUUUAUCUCUUCAAUCAUGAGCCAGUUCAUCGAAUAGGAAGGUUCGCACAACUAGAUUAAGUGAACACAACUUUGUCAACAUCAGGUUGAAGAUGACGAAAGCGAGAGGCGAGGAUCGACAAAAUGCAGUUGUUCAGUUUGAUAAUAA
rnacentral:lncRNA from 1 species